CCGGGGACGCUAGGCGGAGCGGGGCCCCACACAGGCCGCGGCGGCUGGCUCGGGCCCCUACGGUCCCGGCGGCGGCUGGAGGAGGAAGCCAGGCGGCUGAAGAGAAGGGGAGGCGGAGGAGGCCGAGGUGGAGAGCCGCUCGUCGCAAACUCACUUCCCCGGCUCAGCAGGGAAAGGUUCCUAGGAGGCGAGUGUGGACGGUAUGCAAAGUUGUGAAUCCAGUGGUGACAGUGCGGAUGACCCUCUCAGUCGUGGCCUGCGGAGAAGGGGACAGCCUCGUGUGGUGGUGAUCGGCGCCGGCUUGGCUGGCCUGGCUGCUGCCAAAGCACUUCUGGAGCAGGGCUUUACGGAUGUCACUGUGCUUGAGGCUUCCAGCCGCAUUGGAGGCCGCGUACAGAGCGUGAAACUUGGACACGCCACCUUUGAGCUGGGAGCCACGUGGAUCCAUGGCUCCCACGGGAAUCCCAUCUAUCAUCUAGCAGAAGCCAAUGGCCUUCUGGAAGAGACAACUGAUGGAGAGCGCAGUGUGGGCCGCAUCAGCCUCUACUCCAAGAAUGGCGUGGCCUGCUACCUCACCAACCGUGGCUGCAGGAUCCCCAAGGAUGUGGUUGAGGAAUUCAGUGAUUUAUACAACGAGGUCUAUAACUUGACCCAAGAGUUCUUCCGGCACGGUAAACCAGUCAAUGCUGAGAGUCAGAACAGCGUGGGGGUGUUCACCCGAGAGGAGGUGCGCAACCGCAUUAGGGGCGACCCUGAUGAUCCAGAGGCCACCAAGCGCCUGAAGCUCGCCAUGAUCCAGCAGUACCUGAAGGUGGAGAGCUGUGAGAGUAGCUCGCACAGCAUGGACGAGGUGUCCCUGAGCGCCUUUGGGGAGUGGACUGAGAUUCCCGGUGCCCACCACAUCAUCCCCUCGGGCUUCAUGCGGGUUGUGGAGCUGCUGGCUGAGGGCAUCCCGGCCCACAUCAUCCAGCUGGGGAAACCUGUCCGUUGUGUUCACUGGGACCAGGCCUCUUCCCGCCCUCGGAGCCCUGAGAUUGAGCCCCGGGGUGAGGGUAACCAUAAUCAUGACACUGGGGAGGGCAGCCAGGGUGGAGAGGAGCCCCAGGGGGAGAGGCAGGAUGAGGAUGAGCAGUGGCCGGUGGUGGUGGAGUGCGAGGACUGUGAGGUGAUCCCAGCGGACCACGUGAUCGUGACCGUGUCGCUGGGCGUGCUCAAGACGCAGCAUGCCAGCUUCUUCCGGCCAGGCCUGCCCGCUGAGAAGGUGGCUGCCAUCCACCGACUGGGCAUCGGCACCACCGACAAGAUCUUUCUAGAAUUCGAGGAGCCCUUCUGGGGCCCCGAGUGCAACAGCCUACAGUUUGUGUGGGAGGACGAGGCGGAGAGCCACACGCUUACUUACCCACCCGAGCUCUGGUACCGCAAGAUCUGUGGCUUCGAUGUCCUCUACCCGCCUGAGCGCUACGGCCACGUGCUGAGUGGCUGGAUCUGUGGGGAGGAGGCCCUUGUCAUGGAGAAGUGGGAUGACGAGGCAGUGGCCGAGAUCUGCACAGAGAUGCUGCGGCAGUUCACAGGGAACCCCAACAUUCCAAAGCCUCGGCGAAUUCUGCGCUCGGCCUGGGGCAGCAACCCCUACUUCCGGGGAUCCUAUUCAUAUACACAGGUGGGCUCGAGUGGGGCAGAUGUGGAGAAGCUGGCCAAGCCCCUGCCAUACACGGAGAGCUCCAAGACAGCGGGUUGACCCACCAGAUAUCCCUCAUGGAGUUUAUGUCAGGGAUUCAUGUUCACCUGAUGAAUAACUUGAAAAACUGCACCAUGGUCUCCUGCUUCACGGACAAAAUAGAAGCCACCUGGAGGCAACUUCCUCGACAAAUCUACAAACUGCUAGCCUUCACACCUGUCCUUUUAGACCAGGGGUCCCCAACCCCUGGGCCAAGGACCGGUACCGGUCUGUGGCCUGUUAGGAACCGGGCUGCACAGCUGGAGGUGAGUGGCAGGUGAGUGAGUGAAGCUUCAUUUGCCGCUCCCCAUUGUUUGCAUUACCGCCUGAACCAUCCCCCCUGCUCCCCCAGUCUGUGGAAAAAUUGUCUUCCACGAAACCGGUCCGUGGUGCCAAAAAUGUUGGGGACUGCUGUUUUAGACCUUUCCCAGGCACAAUGGAAGUGUGUGACCCAUCACUUGUGCAUCCCAUGCCCCAAACUCAGGGACUUUGCUUGUCCUUUCCUAUCCCCAUUCUGUCCACUCCAUGCUUGCCACCCACCUUUCAGUGUCUUCACAUCUUUCCCAUCACCAACCCUCAUCUUACUCCCACUUUUCCUUGCCUCUCUUUCAGCCAAGCAUCACGUUAGCAUUUCCUACACUUGCUCUCUCUGCAUUCUUACUAUCCUCACCCUAGCAGUGGUUGGUGGGGGUCCUCAGGCCGCAGAGGGAGACACAGGAAGGACUGGGCUGGCUCUCCUUUCCAUGGCUGGGAGAGGUGAGGAGGACCUCUAGGUCUGUGGAAGGACAACCUCAUGGGCUGAACCACAUCCUUUAGCGCCAUCUGUUGGCCAUUUUGGAAUGCAACCCUCUUGCUGCACAGGGAACAUUUGUGUCCUGGAUUCUGUGAGCUUUCCUGAAUAAAAAAAAAAAAUUCGAUAAAUCAUAGAAAGUACCUUUAAUUAAUGCUGAAUAAGUUAAUAAAGUAAGAUUGUAACUUAUUCUAGAGCACCGUUUAUUUUUCAUUCUUAACCUUUUGUAAAAAGUGGCCUUGUUGGCCCCCAAGAUAUUUUCUUUUUUAUUCAUUCAUUCAUUCGUUCAUUCAUUAUUUUGUUUAUCCAGCAGACUUUUGUGUGCCAGCUUCUGUGCUAGAAAGGUUUAAUUAUGCUUCAGUAAAUAAGUUUAUUAAGUAAAUAAAUAAGUAUGAACUUAUUCCCCAAGUGAAUCUGGACUGUAUGAUUUCAAUUCUUUUAAGUUUGUUGAGGUUUUUUUUAUGGCCCAGGAUAUGGUCUAUCUUGGUAUAUGAUCUAUGGUGCUUGCAAAGGAUGUGCAGUGUGCUGUUGUUGGGUGGAAUGUUCUGUAGAUGUUGAUCAGAUCCUGCUGGCUGACAGUGUUGUUGAUUUCCUCUAUAUCCUUGCUGAUUUUCUGUCUAGUUCUUUUGAUUGUUGAGAGAAUAGUUGAAGUGUCCAAUUAUAAUUGUGUAUUUCUUUAUUCUUUCAACUCUAUCAGUUUUUUUGUAUUAAUAGACUUUUUUAAGAACAGUUUUAGAUGUACAGAAAAAGUGAGUAUAUAGACCCCACCUCCAUUUUCCCUAUUAUUAACAUUUUACAGGACUUCCCUGGUUGUCCAGUGGCUAAGACUCCACGCUCCCAAUGCAGGGGUCCCGGGUUCGAUCCCUGGUCAGGGAACUAGAUCCCACAUACUGCAACUAAGAGUUUGCAUGCUGCAACUAAAGACCCCGCAUGCCACACUAAAGACCCUGCGUGCCACAACUAAAGACCCUGCAUAUCGCAACUAAAGAUUCUGCAUGCCACAACUAAAAGAUCCCGCAUGCCGCAACUAAAAAAGAUCUCGCAUGCUGCAACUAAAAGAUCCUGCAUGCUGCAAUGAAGAUCCCAUGUGCUGCAACUAGGACCUGCGCAGCCAAAUAAAUAAAUAAAUAAAAAGAUAAAAUAUUAAAAAAAAAUCCAGCUACAGAAAAAAAUCUUACAUUAAUAUGGUGCAUUUGUUAUAAUCAAUGAACCAAUAUUGGUAUAUUAUUACUAAAUAAAGUCCAUAGGUUAAAUGAAUAAACUAAUGUCUUUUUCUGUUCCAGAAUUCCAUCCAGGAUGCCACAUUACAUUUAGCCAUCAUGUUUCGUUAAGUUCCUCUUCGUUGUGAUGUUUUCUCAGACUCUCCUUGUCUUUGAUGAUCUUAACAGUUUUGAGGAGUAUAGUCAGGUAUAUUGUAGGAUGGACCUCUAUUAGAAUUUUUCUGAUGUUUUUCUCAUGACUAGACUGGGGUUAUAGGUUUCUGGAGGAAAACCACAGAUUAAAGUGCCAUUUUCAUCUCAUCAUAUGACCUUGAUCACUUUGCUGAGAUAGACUUUGUCAGGUUUCUAUACUGUAAAGUUGUCUCCACCCCCCCCACCGCCAACCUCCCACCCCCCGCCAUCGUACUGUCCUCUUUGGAAGGAAGUCGCUUUGCAGCCCACACUUAAGGAGUUAUGCUCCCCUCCUUUAGAGUAGAGUAUCUACAUAAUUUAUUUGGAAUUCUUCUACGUAUGAAAAUUGUCCCUUCUCUUCCCUUACCUCUCUCUAUUUAUUAACUUAUUCAAUCAUUUAUUUAUAUCAGAAUGGACUCAUGGAUAUUUAUUUUAUACUUUGGAUUAUAAUCUAAUACUACUUUAUACUGUUGUUAAAUUGUUCCCACUUUGGUCGCUGGGAGCUCUUUCAUUUGGCUCCUAUGUCCCUUUGACAUGCCCCCAUCAAUGUGUGGGUUUUUUUUCUUUUUUGGGCACUUCCUUACUUUCUGGCACUAUAAGAUUCUCCAGGCUUAUCUUGUAUAUUUCCUGCUUCUGUCAUUGAAACAGCCAUUUCUCCAGGGAACCCUGAUUCCUUUUAAUAGAGCUUGUUCUAGCUCAGGGCAAAAGCUAGAUUGGUGUUGCCACUUGUGGUUGUUAAUGGCAAAAGUGACCUCAGUUCUUCAUUUCUCCCUGCUUUGCUGUGUGAUCUUGCAUCUCCUCCCACUAAAGAGGUUGUUAUUGGCUGAAUUAUGUCCCCUCAAAUUCAUGUGUUGAAGUCCUAACCCAGCUCCCUAUAAUGGAUUAAAGAUUAUUCAGCAAAUCUUCAAUCGCUUUCCUCUUCCUCUGGGAGCAGAAUAUAUUUUCCUGCCCCAUUGACUUUGGGCUUGGCCAUCUGACUUGUUUUGGCCAACAGAAAAUGAACAGACAUGAUGUGGUAUGAGCAGAAGCUUCCAGCAUGCUUGCACAGUUGGUUUUGGCCUCUCGUUUACUUGCCAUUUGUCAUAAGAAGAACAGGUCCCUGAUAGCUGAUGUUUCAAGGAGAAUAUGGAGAAAGGGGAAUAGAUGUGAGCCUACAGAAGCCUGGAACCAAACCUACCGCCUGCAGACAGACACAUAAACAAGAAAAACAAAUGCUUGCUCUUAUAACCUGUGAAUUUAAGGGUGGCUUGUUUUGCAGCAUUAUCAUGGCAAUAGUUGACUGUUACACCUCACUAUGGGGGAGUCAUCUAGCCCAAGAGGGAUAUUUCUAGGCACUAGUGAUAGAGUGAGCAAUGGCCCAUAGACUGGGAAGCCACCCACGGUACAGGGUGGUACAGUUCCAGCAAAGGGGCCUGGCAGGAAUGGGCCAAGGGAUUCAGAUUCCUGGAGGGUUCAUUUCAUGGCUUGACUCUGGCUUAAGGAGGUGGGAUAGAAGCCAGUGGCAUUUUUUUAGUUCCAUUGUACCAGACUGAGGAAAGAUCUUCUAACUGCCACUGCCCAGUUCUCAGCUCAUGAGGAAGAACUUUGUUCUAAAAAUUCAGAGUUGCUGCUACUCCUCUUCCACCAAAUGGAGCACCUGAGAAACUACAAUGUUUCCCUCUGCUCUCAAGGUCCCUUCUGACCCAGACCCACAAGCUUGGACAGUAUUAAAGUCUUUGCUGAAGGUAGAGAGUUCCUGCAGGGAAUCAAGAGGAUGGGUGAUCAUUACUGUGUUCUCGGCUGCUCAGAAAACAAUUCUUGGCAGUAGGACAGUCCUCGCUAAUCUGAUCAUACCAGGUCUCCUCCUAAGUUAGGACUUUGCACCUGCUGUUCCCUCUGCCUGGAAUGCUUUCCCCCAGCAAUCUGCAUGGUUUACAUCAUUACCAUCUUCAGGCCUUUUCUCACACAUCACCUUCUACCUGAGACCUUCCCUAGGUACUCAAACUGAAAGUGCCACAUCCUGUAGCCUCAACACUUCCUGUUCCCUUUCCCUGUUAUAUUUCUUUUGCUUAUCACCAUUUACUAUAUGUUUUGUUGUUAUUACCUAUCACUCCUGUCUCUCCUGAAAUGAGAACUCCAUGGAGACUGACUUUUUUUUUUUAAAUGGAUGUAUCCCCAUUGACUGGGCACAUAGUAGGUGGUCAGUAAAUAUUAUAAAAUGCAUGCAUUGUUUAUUGACCAUCACCUGGCCAUUUGUUAUUGGUUGAGAGGCAUCAGAGGGCACCUGGGCCCAUCUGAGCAGGUGCAUUUCCCACCUGGGGUUGGAGGAAUACCAAAUGCCUAAUCUGUAAGAGGCCCAGGCAUUUGGCACUUGUAGGCUUGUCUACUAGGGUGACUAUUCCCUAAGAGCUUGGACAUAAAAGCUCUCAAGACUGGCUUCUGAGGGUUCCACUCUGAAAUUGGACACAUGAUAAAUGAGAUUAGAGACAAGUAAAGCAAACUUAAAGGUACAGAGUGAGACAAAAGGCUGGGAUUGAAGCAUGAGAUGGGAGGAUGGAGAGGGAUAUAUGAUGGAAACAGAGGCACAAUGCACUGGGAGAUGGAACCCUGGCCUGGGGACCGAUCUCCAUGCCUGGUGCACUAAAUAAGUGACUCUUCCCUUUAACUUCCUGGCUUGGCCUCUGAACUCACUAGUGGCUUUCAGACCACAGUUUGGCUUCCCAUCAGGUUCAUUUAUCAUCAUGAGGACAUUGGCUUGUGUGAUAGUUAAAUUAUAGUUCCCAUUAAAAAUGAGCACAUUGGCUUUGAGCUUAUGAUCUUCAUGUCCUAGUGAGUUAGGCCAUCUGUGUCAGCUUAUAUGAGACUGUGGAACACUUUGGAACACUGACCAGACCCAUUUUCUAGAACUGUAAUACUGAGGACCUGUCCCUUGGCUGGGGGCAAGUUCAUUGAGCAAAUAAUACCUCAUUGAGCCUUUUGGGGCACAGACAGCCAGAUAUUUUGUUGUGUCCCCUUUUACUUUUUAUUAGUCUCUUUCAAAAUCCCACACAUUUGGUCAGUUAGGGAAAAUGUCCUUGAGGUAGAGGGCUUCCAAAAAAAAACCCCUUGUGUUAUGUUUGUGGUGAGAGGGGGAACUCUUAGCUUAUGCUGUUUCAGAUUAGAUAACUGACACAGGCUUGCAGUGUGGUGACUCGCCUUUGUGACAGACACUGAAAGCUGCCUGCCUGAUAUCCAUUGCUUCCUCCUGCUGCCAGAAUCGUGAUUUUGUUCAGAACAGCAGUGUUUCCAACAGGAGGCAAUGAUCCACGUUGCCCUAAAGCAGGGUCAACAAACUUUUCGACAAAUUUUUUUUUUUUUUAAUUUAGGCUUUGUGGGCCAAGACAUAACUUUCAUACAAUACACCUGUCAUGAAAUAUUCUCUUGACUUUUUUUUUCUCCAACCAUUUAAAAAUGUAAAACCCAUUCUUAGUUCAUAGGCUGUACAAAGUCAGGUGGUGGGCUAAAUUUGGCCCACUUUGCAGACCUCUGCUCUAAACCAGUCACUCCAUCUUGUUUUUUAUUUUACCAGUCUCCCUUGCAGGGUGGGCAUGGCACCCACUUCUGGCCCUUAAGGCCUAAGUGGAGGUGUGCUGGGGAAGGGUGGUUUGGGGCAAACUUUAUUAUCUUGAUAAAAGGAGGCAGAUUCCAUAGCCCAGACCCUUCUCCUUUUUUCUCCUCCUUGAAUAUGCAUGUGAGUUAUGGUGCCAUUGGUCAUGGUGAAGCAACAAGGAGGAUAAAAACCGACACACCGAAGACUAUGAAGCAAAGACAGAGCUUGUGUGUGUGACUUACACUGCCAGAAACUACCUACCUCAUAAAUUGUCAGGACAGAAAAAGGUGGAUGCAAACAGCAUGAUGGAGUCACAUGAAUGGCGAACUCCUGGAAGGAAUGGCCACAAAUGUCAUGGCUAUUUUAAUAUUGAAGAUGGAAGAAAAAAAGCAUCAUUUACAGUGUAUUAUGCUUUAUUAUUUCAAGAAAGGUAAAAAUGCAACUGAAAUGCAAAAAAAGAUUUGUGCAGUGUAUGGAAAAGGUACUGUGACUGAUCGAACGUGUCAAAAGUGGUUUGUGAAGUUUCAUGCUGGAGAUUUCUUGCUGGACGAUGCUCCAUGGUCAGGUAGACCAGUUGAAGCUGACAGGGAUCAAAUUGAGACAUUAACUGAGAACCAUCAACAUUAUACCACGCGGGAGAUAGCUGACAUACUCAAAAUAUCCAAAUCAAGUGUUGAAAAUCAUUUGCACAAGCUUGGUUAUGUGAAUCACUUUGAUGUUUGGGUUCCACAGAAAUUAAGCGAAAAAACCUUCUUGACUGUAUUUCCACAUGCGAUUCUCUACUUAAACAUAACGAAAAGUUUCCGUUUUUAAAACAAAUUGUGACGGGCGAUGAAAAGUGGAUACUGUACGAUAAUGUGGAAAGGAUGAGAUGGUGGGGCAAGCGAAAUGAACCACCACCAACCACACCAAAGGCCGGUCUUCAUCCAAAGAUGAUGUUGUGUAUAUGGUGGAAUUGGAAGGGAGUCCUCUCUUAUGAGCUCCUUCUGGAAAACGAAGCGAUUAAUUCCAACAAGUACUGCUCCCAAUUAGACCAACUGAAAGCAGCACUCAACAAAAACCGUCUGGAAUUAGUCAACAGAAAAUGCAUAAUCUUCCAUCAGGAUAACACAAGACCGCACGUUUCUUUGAUGACCAGGCAAAAACUGUUACAGCUUGGGUGGGAAGUUCUGAUCCAUCGACUGUAUUCACCAGACAUUGCACCUUUGGAUUUCCAUUUUUUUCAGUCUUUACAAAAUUCUCUUAAUGGAAAAAAUGUCAAUUCCCUGGAAGACUGUAAAAGGAACAGUUCUUUGCUCAAAAAGCUAAAAAGUUUUGGGAAGAUGGAAUUAUGAAGUUGUCUGAAAAAUUUCAGAAGGUAGUGGAACAAAACAGUGAAUAUGUUGUUCAAUAAAGUUCUGGCUGAAAAUAAAGAAUGUGUCUUUUAUUUUUACUUUAAAACCGAAGGAACUUUUUGGCCAACCCAAUAGAACUAGAUCAUGUCACUCCUCAAGCUCAAAACCCUCUAAGGGCUGCCAUUCCCCCUCACAGCUUGACAUGUGGUCCCCUGACCCCCUGACAUCCUCUCCUACUCCCCCCCACUCUGUUCCAGCCACACUACCCUCCUUUUGCUUCUUGGACAUGCCAGGCACACUCCCACCUUGGGCCUUUGCAUUUGCUUUUCCCCAGAAUCUUCUUCCUC